rnacentral:rRNA from 1 species
GACGAACGCUGGCGGCGUGCUUAACACAUGCAAGUCGAGCGAGGCCCUCCUUCGGGAGGUGUCCUAGCGGCGAACGGGUGAGUAACACGUGGGCAACCUGCCCUCAGCUCUGGGAUAGCCCCAAGAAAUUGGGGCUAAUACCUGAUACGACCGCUGACCGCAUGGUCUGGGGGUGGAAAGAUUUAUCGGCUGGGGAUGGGCCCGCGGCCUAUCAGCUUGUUGGUGGGGUAGUGGCCUACCAAGGCGACGACGGGUAGCCGGCCUGAGAGGGUGACCGGCCACACUGGGACUGAGACACGACCCAGACUCCUACGGGAGGCAGCAGUGGGGAGUAUUGCGCAAUGGGCGGAAGCCUGACGCAGCGACGCCGCGUGGGGGAUGACGGCCUUCGGGUUGUAAACCUCUUUCAGCAGGGACGAAGCGAAAGUGACGGUACCUGCAGAAGAAGCACCGGCCAACUACGUGCCAGCCGCCGCUGUAAUAC